CUUCUUUAUCUCCUGUUCUGUCUGAACUAGGUUUGCUAUGGCAGGACGGCUGGUCAUUCGAGGAGUACUGAUUCUUUGCUUGGUACAGGCAGCACACACAGGGGGUUAUAGCGCCUCAUAUGGAGCUUCCAAUGGACAAGGACCUCAUCCUAACGGAAAUGUCCCUCAGCGUGGUGGCAGACUGGGAUCAUUCCUA